AUACGUAGGUGACAAGCGUUAUCCGGAUUUACUGGGCGUAAAGGGCGUGUAGGCGGUCUUGCAAGUCAGAAGUGAAAUUCCUGAGCUCAACUCGGGCGCUGCUUCUGAAACUGCAGGACUUGAGUGCUGGAGGGGAUAGCGGAAUUCCUAGUGGAGCGGUAAAAUGCGCAGAUAUUAGGAAGAACACCGGUGGCGAAGGCGGCUAUCUGGACAGUAACGGACGCUGAGGCGCGAAAGCGUGGGGAGCAAACAGGAUUAGAUACCCAGGUAGUCCACGCCGUAAACGAUGAAUACUAGGUGUUGGGAGACAAUAGUUUCUCGGUGCCGCAGCAAACGCAAUAAGUAUUCCACCUGGGGAGUACGUUCGCAAGAAUGAAACUCAAAUGAAUUGACGGGG
rnacentral:rRNA from 1 species